rnacentral:rRNA from 1 species
ACUCCUACGGGAGGCAGCAGUGGGGAAUUUUGGACAAUGGGGGCAACCCUGAUCCAGCCAUGCCGCGUGCGGGAAGAAGGCCUUCGGGUUGUAAACCGCUUUUGUCAGGGAAGAAACGCUCCGGGCUAAUACCCCGGAGUAAUGACGGUACCUGAAGAAUAAGCACCGGCUAACUACGUGCCAGCAGCUGCGGUAAUACGUAGGGUGCAAGCGUUAAUCGGAAUUACUGGGCGUAAAGCGUGCGCAGGCGGUUAUGCAAGACAGAUGUGAAAUCCCCGGGCUCAACCUGGGAACUGCCUUUGAUACUGAAGAUCUUGAGUUCGGGAGAGGUGAGUGGAACUGCGAGUGUAGAGGUGAAAUUCGUAGAUAUUCGCAAGAACACCAGUGGCGAAGGCGGCUCACUGGCCCGAUACUGACGCUGAGGCACGAAAGCGUGGGGAGCAAACAGGAUUAGAUACCCUGGUAG